AAUAGUCCACAGAAAUCAAAUUCUCUACAAUCAACGUUGCGCUACUACAACAAAAAAGAAUUGAAAAGCUUAUCGAAACUACACGAAGAAUAGGAAAAGUGAAAAAAAAUUGAAAGGAACGGAAGAAAAAGGAACAAGGAAAUAAAUGAGGAACAAAAAGGUGAAAACGACAGAAAAUAUGAAGAAGAAGCAGAAACUGACGUCAAAAUUUGGGAAGAGAGAAAAAUAAAAAAUAAACUAAAAUAAUAAUAAAAAACCUAUUUGAGUAAUAUCCUAACUCUCCACAACAACUACAUCCCAUAAUAUCCUCCCCACUAACCACAUCCAACUACUUUAGACUCCCAACUCCACCGAACCUCUAACAGACAACCAGAACAAAAAUUAUCACCCAUGCUUACGCAGGGAUUUGAACAUAAAACCUCCAACAC
rnacentral:lncRNA from 1 species